rnacentral:rRNA from 1 species
AUGGUUAACACCAUGUUAGACACCUCGGGUCUAUCCAAGGAAUGGUGGGGGGAGGCGCUAAUGACUGUGUGUCAUGUCCUAAACCGAGUUCCCACAAAGCAUAAGACCAUGACUCCAUCUGAGGAAUGGGAAAGGAAAAGGUUGGAACUCUCUUACCUACGUACUUGGGGUUGUUUGGCGAAAGUCAAUAUACCAAUUCCCAAGAAGCGCAAGCUUGGACCAAAAACCGUGGAUUGUGUUCUUCUGGGCUAUGCUUUUCAUUGCAUCGGCUAUAGAUUUUUGAUAAUAAAAUCUGAGGUAUCCGACAUGCAUGUUGGUACGAUUAUGGAAUCAAAUGAUGCAACUUUCUUUGAGGACAUAUUUCCUAUGAAGGAUAUGUCGAGUUCAUCAAAUCAGGAGAUACCUACUCCAUCUAGUGAGGAAUUCACUGUAAUUCCUGAACCCACCAUUGCGAUGGAACACGUUGAGAAUCCUGUUGAGGGUAACAAUGGAACUCCUGUGAGGAGUAAGAGACAGAGGACUGCAAAGUCUUUUGGUGAUGAUUUCAUUGUGUACCUCGUGGAUGACACACCCAGGACUAUUUCAGAAGCCUAUGCAUCUCCUAAUGCUGACUACUGGAAGGAAGUUGUAUGUAGCGAGAUGGAUUCCAUCUUAGCUAACGGUACCUGGGAGAUCACUGACCGUCCUUAUGGGUGCAAACCUGUAGGAUGUAAGUGGGUGUUCAAGAAGAAGCUUAGACCUGAUGGUACGAUUGAAAAGUAUAAGGCACGGCUUGUGGCCAAGGGUUAUACCCAGAAAGAAGGUGAAGACUUCUUUGAUACUUACUCACCCGUGGCUAGACUGGCCACAAUUCGGGUGCUACUAUCACUGGCUGCCUCACAUGGUCUUCUCGUUCAUCAAAUGGACAUUAAGACGGAUUUCCUCAAUGGAGAGUUGGAGGAGGAAAUUUACAUGGAUCAGCCAGAUGGUUUUGUAGUACCUGGUCAGGAAGGAAAUGUGUGCAAGUUAUUAAAGUCUUUAUAUGGCCUUAAACAAGCUCCUCAGGAGUGGCAUGAGAAGUUCGAAAGAACAUUAACUGUUGUCGGCUUUGUAGUAAACGAUGGUGACAAGUGCGUGUACUAUCGCUAUGGUGGGGGCGAAGGAGUUAUUCUUUGUCUGUAUGUCGACGACAUAUUGAUCUUUGGAACCAAACUUGAUUUAAUCAAGGAGGUUAAGGAUUUCUUAUCUCGCUGUUUUGAGAUGAAGGAUCUAGGAGUAGCUGAUGUUAUCUUAAACAUCAAGCUGUUGAGAGAUGAGAAUGGUGGGAUCACACUGCUUCAGUCUCAUUAUGUGGAAAAGGUCUUGAGUCGUUUUGGGUAUAGCGACUGCACGCCUUCUCCAACUCCAUAUGAUGCUAGUGUGUUGCUUCGAAAGAAUCGACGGAUUGCUAGAGAUCAACUGAGGUAUUCUCAGAUUAUUGGCUCGCUUAUGUAUUUGGCGAGUGCCACGAGGCCUGACAUCUCUUUUGCUGUGAGCAAGCUGAGUCGGUUUGUGUCAAAACCGGGAGAUGAUCAUUGGCAUGCGCUUGAGAGAGUUAUGCGCUAUUUGAAAGGCACCGCGAGCUAUGGGAUUCACUACACCGGGUAUCCAAGGGUACUAGAGGGUUAUAGUGACUCAAACUGGAUAUCUGAUGCUGAUGAGAUUAAGGCCACAAGUGGUUAUGUUUUUACACUUGGUGGUGGUGCUGUUUCCUGGAAGUCUUGCAAGCAGACCAUCUUAACAAGGUCAACUAUGGAAGCAGAACUCACAGCAUUAGACACUGCCACUGUUGAAGCAGAGUGGCUUCAUGAACUCUUGAUGGACUUACCUAUGGUUGAAAAACCAAUACCCCCUAUCCUGAUGAACUGUGAUAAUCAAACUGUGAUCGUCAAGAUAAACAGUUCUAAGGACAAUAUGAAGUCCUCAAGGCAUGUGAAGAGGAGACUAAAAUCUGUCAGAAAAUUGAGGAACUCCGGAGUUAUUACGUUGGAUUAUAUCCAAACGUCGAAAAACUUGGCAGAUCCCUUCACAAAGGGUCUAUCACGUAAUGUGAUAGAUAAUGCAUCGAUGGAGAUGGGUUUGAGACCCACCGCAUGA